rnacentral:rRNA from 1 species
AGCGAUCGCUGGCGGCAGGCUUAACACAUGCAAGUCGAACGGUCCUUCGGCAUAGUGGCGGACGGGUGAGUCACACGUGGGAAUGUGCCUUUCGGUACGGAACAACCCAGGGAUAUUUGCGCUAAUAACGUAUGUGCUCUUCGGGGGAAAGAUUUAUCUCCUUUAGAGCAGCCCGCGUCUGAUUAGCUAGUUGGUAGGGUAGAGGCCUUCCAAGGGGACGAUCAGUAGCUGGUCUGAGAGGAUGAUCAGCCACAUUGGGACUGAGACACGGCCCAAACUCCUACGGGAGGCAGCAGUGGGGAAUCUUGCGCAAUGGGCGAAAGCCUGACGCAGCCAUGCCGCGUGAAUGAUGAAGGUCUUAGGAUUGUAAAAUUCUUUCACCGGGGACGAUAAUGACGGUACCCGGAGAAGAAGCCCCGGCUAACUUCGUGCCAGCCGCCGCGGUAA